rnacentral:rRNA from 1 species
AGCGAACGCUGGCGGCAGGCCUAACACAUGCAAGUCGAACGAACCUUUCGGGGUUAGUGGCGGACGGGUGAGUAACACGUGGGAACGUGCCUUUAGGUUCGGAAUAACUCAGGAAAACUUGUGCUAAUACCGAAUGUGCCCUUCGGGGGAAAGAUUUAUCGCCUUUAGAGCGGCCCGCGUCUGAUUAGCUAGUUGGUUGAGGUAAUGGCUCACCAAGGCGACGAUCAGUAGCUGGUCUGAGAGGAUGAUCAGCCACAUUGGGACUGAGACACGGCCCAAACUCCUACGGGAGGCGGCAGUGGGGAAUCUUGCGCAAUGGGCGAAAGCCUGACGCAGCCAUGCCGCGUGAAUGAUGAAGGUCUUAGGAUUGUAAAAUUCUUUCACCGGGGACGAUAAUGACGGUACCCGGAGAAGAAGCCCCGGCUAACUUCGUG